GUCCCUGUAGCGUAAAAGAUAGCGCAUUGGACCUCCAAUCCAAAGGUUGUGGGUUCCAAUACCACCUGGGCUG